AGUGAACGCUGGCGGUAGGCCUAACACAUGCAAGUCGAACGGCAGCACAGUAAGAGCUUGCUCUUACGGGUGGCGAGUGGCGGACGGGUGAGGAAUACAUCGGAAUCUACUUUUUCGUGGGGGAUAACGUAGGGAAACUUACGCUAAUACCGCAUACGACCUACGGGUGAAAGCAGGGGAUCUUCGGACCUUGCGCGAUUGAAUGAGCCGAUGUCGGAUUAGCUAGUUGGCGGGGUAAAGGCCCACCAAGGCGACGAUCCGUAGCUGGUCUGACAGGAUGAUCAGCCACACUGGAACUGAGACACGGUCCAGACUCCUACGGGAGGCAGCAGUGGGGAAUAUUGGACAAUGGGCGCAAGCCUGAUCCAGCCAUACCGCGUGAGUGAAGAAGGCCUUCGGGUUGUAAAGCCCUUUUGUUGGGAAAGAAAAGCAGCAGAUUAAUACCCCGCUGUUCUGACGGUACCCAAAGAAUAAGCACCGGCUAACUUCGUG
rnacentral:rRNA from 1 species